rnacentral:pre_miRNA from 1 species
GUAGUAUUCCCUCCGUCCCAAAACUCUUGUCUUACAUUUGUUUAGAUACGGAUGUAUCUAGCACUAAAAUGUAACUAGAUACAUCCGUAUUUAGACAAAUUUAAGACAAGAAUUUUGGGACGGAGGGAGUACUAA